GGCCAGCAAGCGCUGAAAAACUUUGGGCAUUCCUACAUAUAUUCGUAGGCUAGGACCUGGAAAGUCUGUCGCGUAUUUUGACGCCCUAGCAGGAAUUUCGCAACCUGGCCAAAAAUAUUGGGAGACAAGUUCACAAGGUCCUGUUACGAAAGAAUGUUCUAUGAAAGGGUAUGAGCUAGUUGUGAUAAUUGUUUUCAAUUAAGACGUAGAAUUGUCAAACCAACAUACUGUGCUGUACAAUCCUUUUCAGGUCACCACAUGCAAAUAACGUAAACGGCGAAACAUCAUAUUGAAGGGGCUUACUUCCAUAAAUUGCCGGACAUAUUAAAAUUUUCCCCGGAAAUACUUUAUCAAUUUUU